GAUGAACGCUGGCGGCGUGCCUAAUACAUGCAAGUCGAGCGAACGGACGAGAAGCUUGCUUCUCUGAUGUUAGCGGCGGACGGGUGAGUAACACGUGGAUAACCUACCUAUAAGACUGGGAUAACUUCGGGAAACCGGAGCUAAUACCGGAUAAUAUUUUGAACCGCAUGGUUCAAAAGUAAAAGACGGUCUUGCUGUCACUUAUAGAUGGAUCCGCGCUGCAUUAGCUAGUUGGUGAGGUAACGGCUUACCAAGGCAACGAUGCAUAGCCGACCUGAGAGGGUGAUCGGCCACACUGGAACUGAGACACGGUCCAGACUCCUACGGGAGGCAGCAGUAGGGAAUCUUCCGCAAUGGGCGAAAGCCUGACGGAGCAACGCCGCGUGAGUGAUGAAGGUCUUCGGAUCGUAAAACUCUGUUAUUAGGGAAGAACAUAUGUGUAAGUAACUGUGCACAUCUUGACGGUACCUAAUCAGAAAGCCACGGCUAACUACGUG
rnacentral:rRNA from 1 species